UUUAAAAAAUUAUGGAAGAGGGAACAAGAUGGCCGAAUAGACACAACUCCGGUGAAGAACACCCAGCAAGAGAGACGCAGAAAUCGAGAGAUCUCCUAGCUUCAACCAAAGUAUCAGGUGCAUUUCAAUGGAUCUGGUCAGAUGGUGAGCAAUGCCCAGGCAGAGCAGACCAAGACAGGGAGGGGUGCUGCUUCACCCAGAAAGUGCAUCUGACCGUGAGUUGGAGGCUUCUCCUCUGGCACCCCGGUCCA